rnacentral:rRNA from 1 species
UACGAAGGGGGGCUAGCGUUGCUCGGAUUUACUGGGCGUAAAGCGCACGUAGGCGGACUCUUAAGUCAGGGGUGAAAUCCCAGAGCUCAACUCUGGAACUGCCUUUGAUACUGGGUAUCUUGAGUAUGGAAGAGGUAAGUGGAAUUGCGAGUGUAGAGGUGAAAUUCGUAGAUAUUCGCAGGAACACCAGUGGCGAAGGCGGCUUACUGGUCCAUAACUGACGCUGAGGUGCGAAAGCGUGGGGGAGCAAACAGG